GACGAACGCUGGCGGCGUGCUUAACACAUGCAAGUCGAACGGAAAGGCCCUGCUUUUGUGGGGUGCUCGAGUGGCGAACGGGUGAGUAACACGUGAGUAACCUGCCCUUGACUUUGGGAUAACUUCAGGAAACUGGGGCUAAUACCGGAUAGGAGCUCCUGCUGCAUGGUGGGGGUUGGAAAGUUUCGGCGGUUGGGGAUGGACUCGCGGCUUAUCAGCUUGUUGGUGGGGUAGUGGCUUACCAAGGCUUUGACGGGUAGCCGGCCUGAGAGGGUGACCGGCAACAUUGGGCCUGGGAUACGGCCCAGACUCCUACGGGAGGCAGCAGUGGGGAUUAUUGCCCAAUGGGCGGAGGCCUGUUGCAGCAACGCCGCGUGCGGGAUGACGGCCUUCGGGUUGUAAACCGCUUUCGCCUGUGACGAAGCGUGAGUGACGGUAAUGGGUAAGAAGCACCGGCUAACUACGUG
rnacentral:rRNA from 1 species